CUUGAACGCUGGCGGCAUGCCUUACACAUGCAAGUCGAACGGCAGCGCGGGGCAACCUGGCGGCGAGUGGCGAACGGGUGAGUAAUAUAUCGGAACGUGCCCUGGAGUGGGGGAUAACGCAGCGAAAGUUGCGCUAAUACCGCAUACGAUCUAAGGAUGAAAGUGGGGGAUCGCAAGACCUCAUGCUCGUGGAGCGGCCGAUAUCUGAUUAGCUAGUUGGUAGGGUAAAAGCCUACCAAGGCGACGAUCAGUAGCUGGUCUGAGAGGACGACCAGCCACACUGGGACUGAGACACGGCCCAGACUCCUACGGGAGGCAGCAGUGGGGAAUUUUGGACAAUGGGGCAACCCUGAUCCAGCAAUGCCGCGUGAGU
rnacentral:rRNA from 1 species